rnacentral:rRNA from 1 species
UCGUGGGGUGACUUGUCUGCUUAAUUGCGAUAACGAGCGAGACCUUACUCUGCUAAAUAGCCAGGCUAGCUUUGGCUGGUCGCCGGCUUCUUAGAGAGACUAUCAACUCAAGUUGAUGGAAGUUUGAGGCAAUAACA